AAGGUGUUUGAGGAGGUGUCGAAAGCGGCUGAUGCUACGAAAUUGUGUGACGGAGGCGCCGAGUAAACUCGAUGCCUUGACCUUGGAUUGGUUUAAGAAUUUUCCCGUCUCUUAUCAGCUCCUCGUCUUAACCUAAGUAUGAUAUCGCUUCUGCUGCUGGCUGGGAUUCUAGGGGCUGCUUCGAAGUUGGAUUUCAUAUCAGUUACUGGGUUUGGUUAGGGUACUCCUGUGACUAUCUUGUGAAUUUUUUUGUUACAGCUCAUAUAUUUGGGUCAGUUAUUUGGAGAAUGGGAAGGUCUCAGACAUCAAUAUAAGACAGAAUGGGAUUGCUGCAGGUUAUUAUGUGAAUGCAAAGAAUACACCAAUUAUCUUUCGUUGGAUUCCUCAUGCAACUCUAAUUAGAUGGGCUCUGCAUCAACGAGUUUCGCGGUCUUCAAUUUGAGCAUCAACAUUCUUUUAAUAUUAAAGAUGGAGAACAGGCACUUGAACGCAUCUCCUUUGGAGGAAAUCAUAUUAGGGAAACCGUGGUAGCUCAAAGUAGAAUACUGUUGUUUUGGUAUUGCACCACUUACUGAUUCAUAUAUAUAUAUAUAUGGAGUGCCAUGGAGAUGUUUAUCGAGUAGAGUGGGCAGAGCAGAUUGAUGGAUUUUGGCGCAGAUGAACUAAAAUAGUUAGCAUAUGUAUAUGCAGAUUUCUUACUUUGUGUAGCAGCAACUUUGGAUUAAAUUGGUCAAAACAGUAGAGUAGGACAUUUUGGAUCUUUAUUCUCCUUUAAUAAGAUGGACUUAUGGCGUUUGUA